rnacentral:rRNA from 1 species
CAGAUGUUGGGUUAANUCCCGUAACGAGNNCAACCCUUGUCCUUAGUUACCAGCACGUUAUGGUGGGCACUCUAAGGAGACUNCCGGUGACAAACCGAGAAGGUGGGGAUGACGUCAAGUCAUCAUGGCCCUUACGGCUGGGCUACACACGUGCUACAAUGGUCGGUACAGAGGGUUGCCAAGCCGCGAGUGGAGCUAAUCUCACAAAACCGAUCGUAGUC